GACGAAGGUGGCGAGCGUUGUUCGGAAUCACUGGGCAUAAAGCGCACGUAGGCGGCGACGUAAGUUGGGUGUGAAAUCCCUCGGCCCAACCGAGGAACUGCGCUCAGUACUGCGUUGCUUGAGGAUCCAAGGGGUGCAUGGAAUUCCCGGUGGAGCGUGAAAUGCGUUGAUAUCGGGAGGAACUCCGGCGGCGAAAGCGGUGCACUGGUGGAUUACUGGACGCUGAGGUGCGAAAAGCCAGGGGGAGCAAACGGGG
rnacentral:rRNA from 1 species